CAGCUUGUCGUGCUCAGUUGGCUGCUUUGAACAGCAGCAACUCCUCCUUCCUUGGGAAACCGCGGACAAGUUCUUGUGCAUCAUGCAGACUUGACGGGGCUUUGCCACAGAAUAUACAUUUCAGAGUCCUGAUGAAAUGUCUUGGGAAAAUAAUACCAUUGUUCCAGAAGUCUGAAGUUCCAGUGGUCACACCCAAGUUGAAAGAGGACCAGGCUGUUUCUCUUUUUGCCAACCUCCAGAUGAACUUCAUGGGCCAUUGUAUUUGGUUUGCAGAUUGGUUUUAUUUCGUUUUCCAGGUUUGGCAUAGAGCUGUGGUUUGCUUCCUGCAUGCAUUUGUAAUGGAUUUUUCUCAUGGAUUGUGUGUUCCUGACAGCUGUCUUGUCCUGGUAGGUGUACUAUUGACUGGAAGAAAGGAAAGAAUGUUACUGUCAAAACCAUCAAGAAAAAGCAGAAGCAUAAGGGUCGAGGCACUGUUAGAACAAUUACGAAACAAGUACCCAAUGAGUCCUUUUUCAACUUCUUCAAUCCAUUGAAAGCAUCCGGGGAUGGAGAAUCACUGGAUGAAGAUUCUGAAUUCACAUUAGCCUCUGAUUUUGAAAUUGGACACUUUUUCCGUGAGCGGAUAGUCCCGCGGGCUGUGCUGU
rnacentral:lncRNA from 1 species